rnacentral:lncRNA from 1 species
CCAAUUCCCUUGGCAGGCUGGAGCUGUCUCCUUCAAUAGUUUUCAAAGUUUCUAGAGAGGACACAUACAAAAGGAGAAAUGCUGCAUUGCUGUACUGCCUUCUCAUUGCUGUUUGACUGCUCCAAGUCCAGUGCUCCCCUGCUCACAGCCCCCUGCUGCUGUUGGAAGCUGGGUGAUGGUGGGACAAGUUGGAACUGGGGCCUUUCUGCAGGUCAGAUUUGGACAAGUCUGUUCCAGGGCUCUGGCCACAGCACUGAAGGGAACAUGAAAAGAACCCCUGUUCAAAACCUGAAGGCCUCCAGGGAACAGGCAGGAUCCAGAUCACUGACCCUCGUGUAACAUUCAGAGGCAACAAUACCUGUCUGGAGAAAAAUGUGGAAUUCUCUUUGCCUCUGUUUUCACCAAAUCACAGUUCUCAACAGGGUUUAAAAAUGUUCUCCAAUUGGAGGUACAUUUAAAAAUCCCUCUACAAAUGGCAAAAUAGAAUAUAAAACAACAAAAAAGGUAUUGCUUUAAGUCUAGCUAGAUUGCAGUUAUUAUGAAAAAAGAUAUUUUACAUUUCUUUAGUAAAUUCCACAGUAAAGCAUUCAUUUAA